rnacentral:rRNA from 1 species
UACGGAGGGUGCAAGCGUUAUCCGGAUUCACUGGGUUUAAAGGGUGUGUAGGCGGAUUUUUAAGUCAGUGGUGAAAUCUCCGGGCUCAACCCGGAAACUGCCAUUGAUACUAUUAGUCUUGAAUUCUGUUGAGGUGGGCGGAAUACAUCAUGUAGCGGUGAAAUGCGCAGAUAUCAGGAGGAACACCCGUGGCGAAAGCGGCUCUCUGGGACGGUACUGACGCUGAGACGCGAAAGCCAGGGGAGCAAACCGG